rnacentral:rRNA from 1 species
GAGCUCUGAUGCUAUUGCACCACAUGUGUUUUUCUUUGAAACAAACUUGCUUUGGCGGUGGGCCCAGCCUGCCGCCAGAGGUCUAAACUUACAACCAAUUUUUUAUCAACUUGUCACACCAGAUUAUUACUAAUAGUCAAAACUUUCAACAACGGAUCUCUUGGUUCUCGCAUCGAUGAAGAACGCAGCGAAAUGCGAUACGUAAUAUGAAUUGCAGAUAUUCGUGAAUCAUCGAAUCUUUGAACGCACAUUGCGCCCUCUGGUAUUCCGGAGGGCAUGCCUGUUUGAGCGUCGUUUCUCCCUCAAACCGCUGGGUUUGGUGUUGAGCAAUACGACUUGGGUUUGCUUGAAAGACGGUAGUGGUAAGGCGGGAUCGCUUUGACAAUGGCUUAGGUCUAACCAAAAACAUUGCUUGCGGCGGUAACGUCCACCACGUAUAUCUUCAAACUUUGACCUCAAAUCAGGUAGGACUACCCGCUGAACUUAAGCAUAUCAAAAGGGCGGGAGGAA